GGCGAGUGAAGCGGCAACAGCUCAAAUUUGAAAUCUGGCCUCUGGCCCGAGUUGUAAUUUGCAGAGGAUGUUUCUGGCGAGGUGCCUUCCGAGUUCCCUGGAACGGGACGCCAUAGAGGGUGAGAGCCCCGUACGGUUGGUCGCUAAGCCUCUGUGAAACUCCUUCGACGAGUCGAGUAGUUUGGGAAUGCUGCUCUAAAUGGGAGGUAUACGUCUUCUAAAGCUAAAUACCGGCUAGAGACCGAUAGCGCACAAGUAGAGUGAUCGAAAGAUGAAAAGCACUUUGAAAAGAGGGUUAAAUAGUACGUGAAAUUGUUGAAAGGGAAGCGCUUAUGACCAGACUUGGACCGGUUGAUCAUCCAUCGUUCUCGGUGGUGCACUCUGCCGGUUCAGGCCAGCAUCAGUUUGGCCCGGGGGAUAAAGGCUUCGGGAAUGUGGCUCCCCACGGGGAGUGUUAUAGCCCGUUGCGUAAUACCCUGGGCUGGACUGAGGUUCGCGCUCCGCAAGGAUGCUGGCGUAAUGGUCAUCAGUGACCCGUCUUGAAACACGGACCAAGGAGUCGUCUUCGUAUGCGAGUGUUCGGGUGUCAAACCCCUACGCGUAAUGAAAGUGAACGUAGGAGAGAGCUUCGGCGCAUCUCCGACCGAUCCUGAUGUUCUCGGAUGGAUUUGAGUAAGAGCAUACGGGGCCGGACCCGAAAGAAGGUGAACUAUGCCUGUAUAGGGUGAAGCCAGAGGAAACUCUGGUGGAGGCUCGCAGCGGUUCUGACGUGCAAAUCGAUCGUCAAAUAUGGGCAUGGGGGCGAAGACAAUCGAC
rnacentral:rRNA from 1 species